GAAGGAGAGCAAAGAAGCAAGAGGAAGGGAGGAGCAAGGGUUUCCUACCAACUAAGCAAGGGUUUGGUGAGAGGAGUAACGAAGAGGGAUAAAAGAGGAAGGAAAAGGGAAGGAAGUGGGAAGAAGCGUUCCCCCUUGAUUUUCAAGGCCGCAACUUACCUUUUCGUUGCCGAAAUAGUAUCCGGUGCCGUGAGAUCUACGUUUUGAGGUUUGAGGAAGGAAAAUCAAGAUUUAAAGUAUUUGGUGACAUUUUGAGUUGGAAAGAAGAAUCAUAAGUUUUUGGGGUUUCUUGGGCCAAGGUUUCGAGACAUUUGUCUUCACUCUGGAUCUUACUCGUACCAUGAGUGCAUAUUCUCCUACAAGAAUAG